rnacentral:rRNA from 1 species
UACGGGGGGAGCAAGCGUUGUUCGGAUUUACUGGGCGUAAAGGGCGCGUAGGCGGUCGUGACAAGUCACUUGUGAAAUCUCCGGGCUUAACUCGGAACGGUCAAGUGAUACUGUCGGACUAGAGUACAGAAGGGGCAACUGGAAUUCUCGGUGUAGCGGUGAAAUGCGUAGAUAUCGAGAGGAACACCUGCGGCGAAGGCGGGUUGCUGGGCUGCAACUGACACUCAGGGACGAAAGCUAGGGGAGCGAAUGGG